UUUGCCGUCGAAAGCGAAAAAACCCGCCCUCCACACCCUUCUAUUUCUAUCACACUGUUUAUCGUUUAUUAUCAUAUUGUCUAUGGUUUAUCAUUUAUCCGGUUUAUCAAUAAAGGGGUCUGGUCGCGGACGGUUACACAAGCGGUAGACUGACCAGCUUGGCCCUUCAGUUGCCAAGUUCGGACAUCGGUCUGCACUUUACCACCUCUGCUGAGCAACCCCAUUUACGGCAAACUGUUCUGGUCUGAAGAUCGCGAAACGUUAAUAUAUAAUUAAUAUUCUUUCACAGAGUCACUAUUUUAUUUUUCACGUACAGUUUUUCAGGUUUAGAUUCAACGAAUUAGCUGUGCAUGAAGUAUUUUCGUGGCUAUGUUUAACUAACUGUAGAUGUCAAACAGAAAACAAAAGGGGCAUGUAUUAACUAUUAAGUAACAAUUUAGCAGGAGACAGACUUAAAUCAAUAAUUCAAUGUUCCUGUGAUAUCAUCAUGUUAGACAACUGCGGAUUGUUUGCAUACCAUCAUGUUUACAAGUGCGGCAGGAUAUGAUUGGCAUAAUUGUGACGAAUUAUCAAAUCAAAUCUGGGAUAGACACUCGACGUUUUUCAUGAGGACUAUGGGCGUUUCCAACCUCCUCCGAUUAGUAUGUUGAUAUUUGUCGGAGCGGACACAUAUGGAAUUUUAGGGACAAAGCACCGGAACAUCCGCUCGAAGGAUGCGUCCAAAUUUUUCAUCCGCGUUUCACACCAGUGCAUACUCAUCGUGUAUGAUCGCACCACUGAGUAGAUGAGGGGAUUGACGUAAGAGCUGCUCAUGGCCAGAAAGUGGAUGGCCAGGAAGGUGUAUGUAAACGACAACUCAUGCCGAUCGCGCCAUGAUUUGAUUAGCUCCGGGAAGAAAUCAAUCAUAACAAAGAAGAGAUGAAGUGGAAACCAGCAGAUGGCAAAUACCAGCACAAUAACCACCAGCAUUUUUACCACCUACAAACAAAAUACACAACAAUUAAUUUCGAGUUUUAAGGUAAUUAAAAUACAGUUAUUUUUCGUAUAGGCCGAUUUAUGUACUAGUAUUUGUUUCUGUAGUUGCUGCGUCAAGCAUCAAGCGAUGCGCUACA